rnacentral:rRNA from 1 species
CCUACGGGUGGUAGCAGUGAGGAAUAUUGGUCAAUGGGCGGGAGCCUGAACCAGCCAAGCCGCGUGAGGGCAGCAGGUACAGCGUAUCGUAAACCUCUUUUGUCAGGUAACACAGGCGGGGACUAGUCCCCGGAUGAGGGUACCUGAAGAAAAAGCAUCGGCUAACUCCGUGCCAGCAGCCGCGGUACUACGGAGGAUGCGAGCUUGAUCCGGUUUUAUUGGGUUUAAAGGGUGCGCAGGCGGCCUGUUAAGUCAGCGGUAAAAGCCCGGGGCUCAACCCCGGCGAGCCGUGGAAACUGGCGGGCUGGAGUUGGAGAGAAGUACGCGGAAGGCGCGGUGUAGCGGUGAAAUGCUUAGAUAUCGCGCAGAACCCCGAUUGCGAAGGCAGCGGACCGGCUCCACACUGACGCUGAGGCACGAAAGCGUGGGUAUCGAACAGGAUUAGAUACCCUAGUAGUC